rnacentral:rRNA from 1 species
GUAUAGUAGGGACGCAUUCGUUUUUAUAUUAAAGCUACGGUGGUGAAAGAUGAGUAUGCGUUCUAUUAGCUAGUUGGAGAGGUAACGGCUCCCCAAGGCGAUGAUAGAUAGGGGUUCUGAGAGGGAUGUCCCCCACACUGGUACUGAGAUACGGACCAGACUCCUACGGGAGGCAGCAGUGAGGAAUAUUGGACAAUGGUCGGAAGACUGAUCCAGCCAUGCCGCGUGCAGGAUGACGGCCUUAUGGGUUGUAAACUGCUUUUGUAAGGGAAGAAUAAGGGCUACGCGUAGUUUGAUGACGGUACCUUACGAAUAAGCAUCGGCUAACUCC